rnacentral:lncRNA from 1 species
UAAUAUUAUUCUAAGCGGGCAUGAGGCGCUGCGGCCCGAGCCCUGAUUGGUCUGGUUAUCUGACCCGGGGCCUGCCCGCGCCAGACAAUAGUCGGAGUCAAAUUAUUCGCCAUGGAGACGCUGUCAGUCACUGGUAACCCGAGCCCCGGCGGGCCAGGCGGCUCCCCCCGGCCGGCUCCGCUGACAGAUCGCCCGGCUCGGCGCAGAGCGGAGGGCGGCCCGAGACAGGAGCCGGAGGCUCUCCAAAAGCCUGGGAGGAGAUAGGUGCAGCUCCAGCCCAUGUCAUGAGAUGAAAAAGAAGACAGACUAGAGCCCACCCUGAAGCAGGGUCACAGGUGGCCUGCAAUCUACCAUGUUUGGUAAAGUUUUGAUAUUGUUACAAGUUUAUUUGGCCAGAAUUAAUACUGCCUAGGAAGAGCUUGCAAAGUGGACAUUGGGCUGCAGUUACAAACAUAUCUUCCCGAGUCAGCCCCUACCCUCUGUUCCCAUCAUACCGUUUCUUUUUUAAAGUCUAGUCUAUCCUGCGGAGAAGGCAAUGGCACCCCACUCCAGUACUCUUGCCUGGAAAAGCCCAUGGAUGGAAGAGCCUGGUAGGCUGCAAUCCAUGGGGUCGCUAAGAGUCGGAUACGACUGAGCGACUUCACUUUCACUUUUCACUUUCAUGCAUUGGAGAAGGAAAUGGCAACCCACUCCAGUGUUCUUGCCUGGAGAAUCCCAGGGAUGGGGGAGCCUGGUGGGCUGCCAUCUAUGGAGUCACACAGAGUCAGACACGACUGAAGCGACUUAGCAGCAGUAGCAGUAGCAGCAGUCUAUCCUGUACAGCAUCUCAAAGACCCUUUACCCUGUCCCAGCAGAUGGAUGUAUAGUGACGCCUUUACAAAUCAGUGGCAGACCCCCCAUUAGAGCUGGCACGAUCUGGGUUCUUGAAGUUGCUCUUUUGAACUUCUUACUACACAUGACUCUCAAUUUUAGAUUCCAUAAGCUGAGUCUGCUCCAUAGUUAAUCUAUAUAGGCCAAAGUCCCAAAGCAUCUAGCCUUUUGGUGUGUUUGAAAACAGAGGUCAUGGGGUGUUGUCCAUCACACAUGUGCCCAGGCACCUGCGCACGCACACACACACAGGCACACAUGUUCAUGUCCAUGGAGGU